UACGUAGGCAGCGAGCGUUGUUCGGAGUUACUGGGCGUAAAGCGUGCGUAGGCGGUGUCUUAAGUUUGUUGUGAAAUCUCCCGGCUUAACCGGGAGGGUGCGGCGAAUACUGAGAUGCUGGAGUGCCGGAGAGGUAAGCGGAAUUCCUGGUGUAGCGGUGAAAUGCGUAGAUAUCAGGAGGAACACCUGCGGUGUAGACGGCUUACUGGACGGGUAACUGACGCUGGGGCACGAAA
rnacentral:rRNA from 1 species